rnacentral:lncRNA from 1 species
CGCCGGGCGCAGCAAGGGCCAGACUCUGCGCUAGCAGGCGCUGCGCGCCAACCGGCCGGCACCUGUCGCAGAAGGUGCAACCGAUCGCACUGUCGCGCAGAAGCUCCUCAAUGGCCAGCGCCAGCUGCAGCCCCGGCCGCCCACUCGCCUCAUCUGAGCCUGGGCAAAUCUGGAUUGGGAAAGUUGACAUUAAUCAACUCAUUAUUCCUCACAGAUUUGUAUUCUCCAGAGUAUCCAGGUCCUUCUCAGAGAAUUAAAAAGCCUGUACAGCGCUGCUCUAAGCUGUUGAUGAAAAAUAUUGUUGGUGAGCUCUGCUUAGGUAAUAUAUAGGACAUGAGCAGAGAGGAGGCACGUGAACAGUUCUGGCCUGGAGUAGGCUUCAUUGAGGCUGUGAUGCUUUUAGCUGGAUUUGAAGAAGUGGUAGUGAUCAUCCCAGUGCACAGGAUAGGUGGACAGUCUAUGUAUUCUGAGCAGUAACUCAUAUAUCUCAUACUGCAAGACCCCAAAGGAGUAAUUUUGUGAACUCUGUUCACGGAAAGGGCCUGGGAGCUGCAACACCUCAACAGCAACAAGCACACCUGCUACCUAGAACUUGGUUUCUAAAAACCAUCCUCCUCUAAAAGGAAACAGAGCUCUUUGAAGAAACGAAGGUAAGCAUGAGCAAAUUACUUUUUAGAGGUAACUUUGCUGAACUUGUGAAGAAUGGUGUGCAAGGUCCAGAGCGACUGCAGGAGAGGGAAGGUGGGAUUCCCACAGAGCAGGAGCACAGAUAAGCCAAGCAAGGCCCUGCUUGGAAGGCAGCAAUCAACAGAGAUGCACAGACCUGUGAGGGUGCCGGGACAGCCAUGCAACAAUGCAGCCCUUUUGCUUCCUGAGCUCACCAGUUCCCUCGCUCCACCUCUGAGAGGUGGUUUGGAGAAACACAGCCCUUCUCAAGAGGGCUGCAAGCUACUUAAGUCCUGAAAAUUUCCACAAGGCUGAGUCAAAUCUGCGUUUCAUCAUCUAUAAGAAAGGUACCUAUCGAGAACACCCUGCUGGCCAGUGUGUAAAUAUCUAAAGGAGGACUCAGAAAACACCGGGGAAGUCCAGCCUGCACGUGGUGGCUGGGCUUCAGUGAAGCAUGCAGCACAACAGGAGUUAGCAGACCACAAAGAGCAUGUCUGGACCUAGAACCACAGCAUGUAACCUCGGAAGCAGUGAGACACCAGCCAGCAUGGACAAGCAGCAGGCACUUGCU